rnacentral:rRNA from 1 species
AUUGAACGCUGGCGGCAGGCUUAACACAUGCAAGUCGAGCGGGGAAGGGUAGCUUGCUACCUAACCUAGCGGCGGACGGGUGAGUAAUGCUUAGGAAUCUGCCUACUAGUGGGGGACAACGUUUCGAAAGGAACGCUAAUACCGCAUACGCCCUACGGGGGAAAGCAGGGGAUCUUCGGACCUUGCGCUAAUAGAUGAGCCUAAGCCAGAUUAGCUAGUUGGUGGGGUAAAGGCCUACCAAGGCGACGAUCUGUAGCGGGUCUGAGAGGAUGAUCCGCCACACUGGGACUGAGACACGGCCCAGACUCCUACGGGAGGCAGCAGUGGGGAAUAUUGGACAAUGGGGGGAACCCUGAUCCAGCCAUGCCGCGUGUGUGAAGAAGGCCUUUUGGUUGUAAAGCACUUUAAGCGGGGAGGAGGCUCUUCUAGUUAAUACCUAGGAUGAGUGGACGUUACCCGCAGAAUAAGCACCGGCUAACUCUGUGCCAGCCGCCGCCGUAACAC